CAAAACCUAUUGUCAAAAAUACUUCAAAUAAUUCAAUUAUUACGGGCAAGGGCUCUCCUCCAAAUAUAAGCUCUGGUAGAUCUAUUGCACUUCCAGCAGCAGCCUCAUGGGGGAUGCGUGCCUCUAGUCAGCCACAAGCUACUACUUCUACAUCUUCAAAUGGACCUACUAAACCAAAACCGGACACAGUUAAUGGCACAUUAGGCUUCGCAGCAGCAGUUGCAAAUACAAAUCAGGCUACUACAUUGCAUAGUGAUGUGGGAAAAAGGGCAACUUGGAAUGAGGACAGUCAAACUACGAAUGGUAAAGGCAAACAAGAUCCUUUGACAUCCGUUAAACAGAAUGUUGAAGAUUCUCCAUCCAGUGCGCCAGACAAACCAGCCACAGUUCAUGCUAAUCAUGCUGUAACAUUAAGUAAUCAGUCAUCUAGUUCUCCAACUGAUCACAAUGACUGG
rnacentral:misc_RNA from 1 species